AACGAACGCUGGCGGCAGGCCUAACACAUGCAAGUCGAACGCCCUAGCAAUAGGGAGUGGCAGACGGGAGAGUAACUCGUGGGAACGUGCCCUUCGGUUCGGAAUAACUCAGGGAAACUUGAGCUAAUACCGGAUACGUGCGAGAGCAGAAAGAUUAAUCGACGAAGGAUCGGCCCGCGUCCGAUUAGCUAGUUGGUGAGGUAAUGGCUCACCAAGGCGACGAUCGGUAGCUGGUCUGAGAGGAUGACCAGCCACACUGGGACUGAGACACGGCCCAGACUCCUACGGGAGGCAGCAGUGGGGAAUAUUGGACAGUGGGCGCAAGCCUGAUCCAGCCAUGCCGCGUGAGUGAUGAAGGCCCUAGGGUUGUAAAGCUCUUUCGCCAGGGACGAUAAUGACGGUACCUGGAUAAGAAGCCCCGGCUAACUUCGUGCCAGCCGCCGCAGUAA
rnacentral:rRNA from 1 species